UACGUAGGUGGCAAGCGUUGUCCGGAUUUACUGGGCGUAAAGAGCGCGCAGGCGGUCGUUCAAGUCGCGUGUGAAAGCCCCCGGCUCAACUGGGGAGGGUCACGCGAUACUGAUCGACUCGAAGGCAGGAGAGGGUAGUGGAAUUCCACGUGUAGCAGUGAAAUGCGUAGAGAUGUGGAGGAACACCGAUGGCGAAGGCAGCCUCCUGGGCUAGUACUGACGCUCAUGCACGAAAGCGUGGGGAGCAAACAGG
rnacentral:rRNA from 1 species